AUGCAAGAUGAAUACUCGGCGUUGAUGCAGAACCAGACGUGGAGCCUCGUCCCUCGCCCUCCUGGAGCCAACAUUGUGACCGGCAAAUGGCUGUUUCGGCACAAGUUCAAAGCUGAUGGCGGACUGGAGCGUUACAAGGCGAGAUGGGUGGUCAGGGGCUUCUCUCAACGACCAGGUGUGGACUUUGACGAGACCUUCUCGCCGGUCGUCAAGGUGGCCACGAUUCGCGCCGUGCUCACCGUGGCGGCCUCCCGCGCAUGGCCCGUCCACCAGAUGGACGUGAACAAUGCGUUCCUCCACGGUCACCUCACCGAGCGUGUGUACUGCCAGCAGCCGGCUGGCUUCGUCGACACGGCCCGCCCCGACCACGCCUGCCUCCUCGACAGAUUGCUCUACGGCCUCAAGCAAGCGCCGCGCGCCUGGUUCGCCAGGUUU
rnacentral:rRNA from 1 species